GAUAAUUAUGUAGGAAUUUCAAAUAUAGAUAGCGGUUCAGAGAAGACUUUAAAUAUGUACUUUGAGGAGCUAGCUAUGAAGCAUCAUAGACAAUCUUUAGUUCAAGCUUCUUCUGUUGAUAUUGACCAAUGGAAAGGCCAUUCACUUGGGGUUGAUCAGUGUCGAAUGAAGAUGGGCUUGCUUCUUACUGGUGUGGGGGACAAGCUAUCAUGGUAGGUUAUGCGUCUCUGGUCAUUAGAAACAUACAAUUGUAUGGAAGAAUAUUCAAUCCAAGAUGCAAGCCCCUUAAUUGACUUUGAUUUUGAUGAGAGGAAGAUUGUUGGUUUGGUUGGCACACGAAUAUGCUUAUGGAGGCGAAAUGGGAAGAUAAGUACAUUUCCCUCUCGUGAAGGCACGUUUAUGAAGGGUUUAUGCAUGCGGUACAGAAGCAAAUUUUCUUAUUAUGCUAAUCUUUCUUGGAGCAAUACUGGAUUUUAUAUCAUUAGGUCUGUACAGCUAAAAUUUUCUUGUUUGUUAUUCAUCAACCCUCUCUAGAGCCCACACAAACAUCGGAUGUUUUGUGCAUUAGAUCAUCGGAUGCUAAAUUCUAUUACUCGAGUGACAAUACAAGAGAAGAUGGUCAGACAAUUAAUUCUUGGAAAGCAAUUUCAAUUUCUAGAAAAAUGGAUAGACUAUUAGACACUGGCUAGUGAAUAAAUUGUUUAAUAAAAAAAUGCCUGUGAAAUCGAAGGCAGUAGACCGUAUGUGAUUCGGAAACUGAAAGGUGAGUUAUCUAAAUACUAUCUCAAUCCAAGUUCAUAAUUAGCUAAA